rnacentral:rRNA from 1 species
GUAGCGGUGAAAUGCGCAGAUAUCAGGAGGAACACCGAUGGCGAAGGCAGGUCUCUGGGCUGUUACUGACGCUGAGGAGCGAAAGCAUGGGGAGCGAACAGGAUUAGAUACCCUGGUAGUCCAUGCCGUAAACGUUGGGCACUAGGUGUGGGGGACAUUCCACGUUUUCCGCGCCGCAGCUAACGCAUUAAGUGCCCCGCCUGGGGAGUACGGCCGCAAGGCUAAAACUCAAAGGAAUUGACGGGGGCCCGCACAAGCGGCGGAGCAUGCGGAUUAAUUCGAUGCAACGCGAAGAACCUUACCAAGGCUUGACAUGUUCCCGACCGGGCCAGAGAUGGUCUUUCCCCUUUGGGGCGGGUUCACAGGUGGUGCAUGGUUGUCGUCAGCUCGUGUCGUGAGAUGUUGGGUUAAGUCCCGCAACGAGCGCAACCCUCGUUCCAUGUUGCCAGCGGGUUAUGCCGGGGACUCAUGGGAGACUGCCGGGGUCAACUCGGAGGAAGGUGGGGACGACGUCAAAUCAUCAUGCCCCUUAUGUCUUGGGCUUCACGCAUGCUACAAUGGCCGGUACAAUGGGUUGCGAUACUGUGAGGUGGAGCUAAUCCCAAAAAGCCGGUCUCAGUUCGGAUUGGGGUCUGCAACUCGACCCCAUGAAGUCGGAGUCGCUAGUAAUCGCAGAUCAGCAACGCUGCGGUGAAUACGUUCCCGGGCCUUGUACACACCGCCCGUCAAGUCACGAAAGUCGGUAACACCCGAAGCCGGUGGCCCAACCCUUGUGGGGGGAGCCGUCGAAGGUGGGACUGGCGAUU